GUGGUAAUGCCGGAUGUUCCACAUGAUCGCAUGUGAUUGUGGGAAAGAUUUCAUCGGCGUGGGAUGGGGUCGCGUCCUAUCAGCUUGUUGGUGAGGUAACGGCUCACCAAGGCUUCGACGGGUAGCCGGCCUGAGAGGGCGACCGGCCACAUUGGGACUGAGAUACGGCCCAGACUCCUACGGGAGGCAGCAGUGGGGAAUAUUGCACAAUGGGCGCAAGCCUGAUGCAGCGACGCCGCGUGAGGGAUGGAGGCCUUCGGGUUGUAAACCUCUUUUGUUUGGGAGCAAGCCUUCGGGUGAGUGUACCUUUCGAAUAAGCGCCGGCUAACUACGUGCCAGCAGCCGCGGUAAUACGUAGGGCGCAAGCGUUAUCCGGAUUUAUUGGGCGUAAAGGGCUCGUAGGCGGCUCGUCGCGUCCGGUGUGAAAGUCCAUCGCUUAACGGUGGAUCUGCGCCGGGUACGGGCGGGCUGGAGUGCGGUAGGGGAGACUGGAAUUCCCGGUGUAACGGUGGAAUGUGUAGAUAUCG
rnacentral:rRNA from 1 species